AACGAACGCUGGCGGCAUGCCUAACACAUGCAAGUCGAACGAGACCUUCGGGUCUAGUGGCGCACGGGUGCGUAACGCGUGGGAACCUGCCCUUAGGUUCGGAAUAACUCCCCGAAAGGGGUGCUAAUACCGGAUAAUGUCUUCGGACCAAAGAUUUAUCGCCUUUGGAUGGGCCCGCGUUGGAUUAGCUAGUUGGUAGGGGAAAACCCUCCCAAGGGGAAGACCCAUAGCUGGUCUGAGAGGAUGAACAGCCACACUGGGCAUGAGACACGGCCCAGACUCCUAAGGGAGGCAGGAGUGGGGAAUAUUGGACAAUGGGCGAAAGCCUGAUCCAGCAAUGCCGCGUGAGUGAUGAAGGCCUUAGGGUUGUAAAGCUCUUUUACCCGGGAUGAUAAUGACAGUACCGGGAGAAUAAGCUCCGGCUAACUCCGUG
rnacentral:rRNA from 1 species